GUGCAGCAGGCGCGAAUCUUCCACAAUGGACGAAAGUCUGAUGGAGCGACGCCGCGUGCGGGAUGAAGGCCUUAUGGGUUGUAAACCGCUGUCAGGGGGAAGAACAUCGGAAUGAACAAUACUCAUUCCGACUGACGUUACCCCCAGAGGAAGCUCCGGCCAACUCCGUGCCAGCAGCCGCGGUAAUACGGGGGGAGCAAGCGUUGUCCGGAAUUAUUGGGCUAAAGGGCGUGUAGGCGGCGAGGUAAGUCGAAUGUGAAAUCUCACGGCUCAACCGUGAAACUGCGUUCGAAACUACCCUGCUUGAGUACGGGAGAGGUGUACCGGGAAUUCCUGGUGUAGCGGUGGAAUGCGUAGAUAUC
rnacentral:rRNA from 1 species